GCCUCCGUAGCUCAAGUGGUAAAGAACUGGUCUUAUAAACCAGGAGUCGUGAGUUCAAUCCUCACAGGAGGCA
rnacentral:tRNA from 1 species